GAUGAACGCUGGCGGCGUGCUUAACACAUGCAAGUCGAACGGAAAGGCUCCUGCUUGCAGGGGUACUCGAGUGGCGAACGGGUGAGUAACACGUGGGUGAUCUGCCCUGCACUUCGGGAUAAGCCUGGGAAACUGGGUCUAAUACCGGAUAGGACGAUGGUUUGGAUGCCAUUGUGGAAAGUUUUUCGGUGUGGGAUGAGCUUGCGGCCUAUCAGCUUGUUGGUGGGGUAAUGGCCUACCAAGGCGUCGACGGGUAGCCGGCCUGAGAGGGUGUACGGCCACAUUGGGACUGAGAUACGGCCCAGACUCCUACGGGAGGCAGCAGUGGGGAAUAUUGCACAAUGGGCGCAAGCCUGAUGCAGCGACGCCGCGUGGGGGAUGACGGCCUUCGGGUUGUAAACUCCUUUCGCUAGGGACGAAGCGCAAGUGACGGUACCUGGAGAAGAAGCACCGGCUAACUACGUG
rnacentral:rRNA from 1 species